UGACCUGAGCCAACGUCGAUGCUUAACUGACUGAGCCCCCCAGGUGCCCUGGCACACGAAUGAUUUUUUUAGCGUGCAAGCAGCACCUGCCAGUGAAGGGCUUUAAUCAGGAAGCACAGGGACAGAGUCCUGUUCUCAAACAGCGCCUUUGAACCAGUGUGAAGGUUGAGACCAGGAUGAGAGGCCAGGUGGGAAGCUGUUGCAAUAGUUCCAGAGAAAAGAGAAGCAGGAAGGGGGGUGGCGAAGCGGUGAGGACGGCAGAGUAGGAGAGCAGGGGCCAGGUGGCGACAGCAUGGCUGAGGCUGGGGGGCCUGACGGGGGCUACCGAAGAGCCCGCAUUGCCACACCUUCCACUUUUUUCCAUGGAAAGCAGAAACCAAAUUUUUAUAGGACGGUUCAGUAAAAGCAAUGUGCCAAACAUGUGGGCCAAACGAAACAAAUUAGAUCCACAAAUUCCUCCUCUGGAUCCCCACAGGCUUUCCUGGCAAGCCUGUUUGCUUUAAUGCAGUUACCUGGACCCACCGGGAGAUUCAGGUUCAAGAAACCAAGAUCCUGCCCAAAGCAUUUAUGUUGCAGUAUGUCUCUGUUCCCCAGGAGCCAAAAAAAAGAAAUUAUUGAUCAGACAUAAGCCAAAUGUGGCUUCGGAAAAAUCCAGUGCCCUGGUGAUGCUUGACGCCCUCCCAGAGAAGAAAUGAUGUGACCUUUUACCCCUAAGCCAAGCUGCUUGAAGUGACUCUCCACCCUCCGCAGGACACCACCUGCCCCCCCCCCCCACGUGGACCCGGAGAGUGAUGGUGCACGGGUGAGGCUCUUCUCGCCCUUGCAAAGCUGCCGGAGGCCGCUGCUGAAAGGGAGGCGGCCCAGCCACCUUGUUUUCUGUCUGCUUCCUCUUCUACACAAGUGGCAGAAGUGGCCAGAGCAGGCCCACAUUCUGACCCCUUCCCUUCUGCCUGUUACCCCGAGGCCAAGCCAGCCCCGCCUCAGCCCUGUGGUCAACCCCAGCUCUCCAGCAUUCUUCACAUUAGAAUUUGGAACCACAACGGAUUCUCACAUGCUUUGCUGCCACCGUAGCUCGUGACGCACGGCCCUCCCAAACCUCAGAGGAAGGACUAACUGCUGUGUGCGGCAAGAGUCAGAUGUUCCUGGGACCCCUGGCCCCAGGACCACCGAGGCCACCCCGUCAUUUUUAAAACUUUGGACCCAGUAUCUUUUCUGUAGCCUACCGGUUUUUAUGUCAUUUUAAAAUCGAUAUGAAGUAUUCUUCUCUUCAAUUUCUCACAAAUCCAACUAGAAAGGUUGAGAGUAAAAAUAAGUCUUCCUAAGACUUCUUUUCCUAGUGAGGGUGUCAUAAUAUUGCAUAAUGUGUUUUAUGUAAUGAACGUCAGCUUGCAGAAAGCACGGAGCUUACUCAGCUGGGAGAUGAAUUGUGUACUCAUUCAACAAAUGCGUGGGUGCCUGCCAUGUGCUGGACAGCAUUACAGCAGAGGCAGAACACAAAUCUCUCAAACACUUUCAUGGCCCAGACGGGGAUUGAAAGACGGUCUUGUGGCUCUGCAGCUGGCAUAGAACAUUCCAGAAGCUUGGGUGGGUGGCCAUGGUCAGGAAGUGAUGUGACACCCAUCUGCAGCCCCUCUCUGGGGUUUGUGAAGGAGCCAUGGAGGCUUUGUCCUAUGCAAUCCCUGGAAACCAGCCCCUGCGGUACAGCUGAGCCCUACUGGUAAGGUGGUUGGGACGCCAGCCCUGGGGGGACCACAGUGCUCAGUGUCCGGAAUGGUCCAUUCACAUCCUUUCGCUAAUGCUGAAUUCAGGGAUGAUUUAAUAACAAAUUCCCCAAACUGUCCCUGGGUACUUCAAGACAUCUUUAGCUGAAGAGGAACUCACAAAAGAUAAUCUUGAAUCUAAUCUGAGUCCCCUUUUUAUUUUUUUAGUAAUCUCUACACCCAGCGUGGAGCUCGAACUCAUGACCCUGAGAUCAAGAAUUACAUGCUCUUCUGACUGAGCCAGCCAGGCACCCUCAAGUUCCCUUUUUAAGCGUAUAAAAUUCACAUAUCUUUGAUAAAGAAUAACCCUAAUGACAUUGGAAUUGCCAUGAUUGAGACCAGGGGUUCACCAACUGUGGUUCAGGGACCCCUGGAGGCCGCCCAAGACCUUUCUGGGGGUCAGCAAAAGUCUGGCAGUUUGGAGGGCGUGGCUGCAGGCUGUCAGCAAAGGCAGCUAUUCUCAAGAAGGCAAUCCAGAGCCCUGGGGUCUGGAAGAUUGAGUUGAAUGUCACCAGACUGGAAGGUGUACCAGUUAACAAGGGAAGGAGGGAGAGAGGAGUGGUCCCACUGAGUCUGGGGAGAGGGUGAAAGGCUGUGUGCCAAGAUAGAGAAGCACCAGGCCUCAGCAGUUUGGAGCUAGCAGAUGGCCGCUGGAGCUGUCCUGCAGGUCACGUAUGUACCAGCCUGGUGGUGAGAAGCAGAAACCUUUGGAGAUGAGCUUGCUGGAGGGGAUGUCCAGGCCCAGGCGGCAGAAGCCCGGAGGAUGUCAGUCACUCAGCACUCUCCUGGAGCAGGGAGCCUGGGAAUGCUCACCCCUCCCUGCUUCACCAGCCUGCUCAGAGACGGAGACUGCGCUUUAUGGAACAGAAGCUCAGUGAGGACAAGCAUCUGUCCACUGCUGUGUCCCUAGCACCUAGGUCGUGGCCACAGAGCUCUCAGGAGACCCUCGACGAUGCCCACCCCCUGGAAUUCACACCCUGGGGCCGUCCCUGCCACACGCUCCACGUGGUGAAGAGCUCAGGUCUCCUGCCAACAGCCAGGUGAGGGCACCCCCUGGAGAGCCACCCUCCAGCACCAGGAAAGCUUCACCUGGACCGCACCCUUGGACAAGGACAGAUGGGGAGCAGCUUGCCUGAAGCAGGAACUUGAGAGCCCAGGACCCCCACCAGCCAAGGAACAGCUGCAGGGGUGGGAGCAGCAGAGGUCCUCUCUGCUCCCUCCUUCCACACCCCCCACCAAGGGUCGCCUGGCUCACAAACACACCUG